ensembl:rRNA 5S_rRNA 5S ribosomal RNA
GUCUAUGGCCAUGCCAUUCUCAAUGUGCCUGAUCUCGUCUGAUCUCGGAAGCUAAGCAGGGUUGGGCUGGGUUAGUACUUGGAUGAGAGACCACCUAGGAAAACCAGGUGCUGUUAGGCA